rnacentral:rRNA from 1 species
UACGGGGGGGGCAAGCGUUGUUCGGAAUUACUGGGCGUAAAGGGCUCGUAGGCGGCCAGCUAAGUUGGACGUGAAAUCCCUCGGCUUAACCGGGGAACUGCGUCCGAUACUGGAUGGCUUGAGUUCGGGAGAGGGAUGCGGAAUUCCAGGUGUAGCGGUGAAAUGCGUAGAUAUCUGGAGGAACACCGGUGGCGAAGGCGGCAUCCUGGACCGACACUGACGCUGAGGAGCGAAAGCCAGGGGAGCAAACGGG